UUAAUUAGAAGUGGUGUACAGGUGAGUAAAUGAUAUUCUGGCUACCUAAGAGUUAAGGUAAACAAAUGCCUUAAAUUAUACAUUAUAUAGGGAUGGGUAGGUAUAAGAGAAAAAUAUUUUCGCUCUUAGAUGUAAAUUAAUAUCUCGGACAGGUAAUAUUUAAGGUAAUGGCUUAAAUAGCUUAUGUCCGUAGUCGAGACUGAGAGGUCGAUCGACCACAUUGGGUCUGAAAAAACCCCAAUGCGCAUCGUACAGCAGUGAGGAAUCUUGGUCAAUGGCCAACGGCUGAACCAGCAACUUGGAGGAAUGUAUAUAUAUAUAUUAAUUACAAUGCAAUAUAUAUAAACCGACAAUACGGUUAAAGUUCUGGAUAGAAUACUGAUAAUGACAUUUUUCUAUCUAUAUGUCUUGACCAAAUUUUGUGCCAGCAGUCGCGGCAACACAAAGGAGACAGCGUUAUUCAUCUUUAUUAGGUUUAAAGGGUACCUAGACGGCAUAUCAAGCCCCAAAAGGGAACGGAUAUACUAGAGUUUUAUGUGAGAGGCCUAUAGAACCAUUGGAGUAGAGAUAAAAUUUUAGGAUACCAUUGGGACUGGUAACGGCGAAGGCAAUCCUCUAUGUAAUAACUGACGUUGAGGGACGAAGGCUUGGGUAAUGAAUAGGAUUAGAUACCCUAGUAGUCCAAGCAGAUAAUUAUGAAUGUCAUAGAUUAGUUAGAUAGAGUUAGAUAAAUCUAGGUUUAAUCUAGCUCCAAGAUAUAGUAAAUCAAUAAUAUCAUUGUUUAAUCUAUAUAUUGAUCUAUAAAUGAAAGUGUAAGCAUUCCACCUCAAGAGUAAGGCGGCAACGUUGGAACUGAAAUCAUUAGACCGUUUCUGAAACCAGUAGUGAAGUAUGUGUGCGACAAGAAGCGGAUAUUAGUAAUGUGGUGUGAUCCCACUAGGUUUUCUCUGCCUAACACUACCUACACAUGCAGGAGAGUAAUUGAAUGUGUGAAGCUGUAGGAACAAUGUAGCCUGUAUUAAAUUACAAUGUAAAUAUAGUUAUUUUAAUUCGAUAACCCUCGAACAACCUUACCACAGUUUGAAUGUUGAUUAAAAAAUUAACACAGGCGUUGCAUGGCUGUAUUCAGUUGAUGUCGUGAGAUAUGGUUGGAUCCAUUAAAAUUAGCGUAAACCCUUGUUCAUUAUUUGUUCUAAUAAUACCGUUAACCGAUAUAGUGGAUAAUAUAAUAGGGACUAAUACAAGUCAUCAUGACCUUAACGCUGUGGGCUAUAGACGUGCUGCAUGUUCCUCUACAAAGGGAUGCAAAAGUGUGAACUUGAGCUAACCCCCAAAAGAGGAUAUAUAUUGGAUUGUAGUCUGAAAUUCGACUACAUGAAUUAGGAAUUACUAGUAAUCGUGUGUAAUCACAGCACGGUGAAUUUACUCUCAGUCAGGUACUAACCACUCGUCAGGCGCUGAAAGGGGUAUGCGCAAUAAGUUUGAUUUUGCAGUUAAACAUUUUUGUAUAAGUAAUAGGGCUUAUAUUGUUUAACACAUAAUUUUCGUAUGCGUGACCUUGAUUGGUGUUAAGUCGAAAUAAGGUUCGGGUUGGGGAACUAGCCCGGG
rnacentral:rRNA from 1 species